UACAGAGGGUGCAAGCGUUGUUCGGAAUUACUGGGCGUAAAGGCGCGUAGGCGGCCUGCUAAGUCGGAUGUGAAAUCCCUCGGCUCAACCGAGGAACUGCAUCCGAUACUGGCGGGCUUGAAUCCGGGAGAGGAUGUGGAAUUCCAGGUGUAGCGGUGAAAUGCGUAGAUAUCUGGAGGAACACCGGUGCGAAGGCGCUCUCUGGACGUACUGACGCUGAGACGCGAAGCGUGGGAGCGACAG
rnacentral:rRNA from 1 species